GUGCUGGACAGUUUUAUGUAGACUUGACACAAGCUAGGAAGGAGCCUCAGCUGAGAAAAUGCCUCCAUAAGAUCCGGUUGUCAGCUGAUCUGUAGAACAUUUUCUUAAUUCGUGAUUGAUGGGGAGGGCCCAGCCAUUGUGGAUGGUGCCGAGCAAGCCAUGGAGAGCAAGUCAGUAAUCAGCACCCUCCAUAGCCUCUGCAUCAGCUCCUGCCUCCAGGUUCCUGCCUUGUGUGAGUUCCUGUCUUAACCUCCUUGGAUGAGAAAUGCUGGACACCUGCAUGUAGCCCAUGAGAAGGGGACUCCUGAGUAAGUGAAAAUGAAGCUAAAGAUGCCACGCUGAGGGAAGGCACAGGUGGUGACUGGAGUUAGUCCUGGAGAGAGCCUCGCUGCACUGCAGAUGAUGGAGUGAGGACCUUUGCCUCAUGUUGCUUGCUGCAUCCGUGUGCUGCUGCUGCAUCUGGGAGCUCUGCGAGUUGUUUGUUCUGAAUUUUGAAGAUGUCUGGAGUGGAGAGUUUGCCUCAAGUCUCAGGGGAAACAUGGGAUUUGAUUGUCUGACCUGUCCUGGAAGCAGCUUCAAAGCAACUGGAUCCAGGCUCUGUGGGCAGGAACAUUUCGACCCCACAGCUGAGCUCAAGCCCUUCCUUUUAAAGGUGUUUCCUUCAGGCAUUUUAUCAGAUGAUUUGACACCUUGUGUGAAAGAAAGAGAAAACAGACUAAGUUAUAAGCUUCCUACCAAAAAAUAAAUUCGCCACUAGCCCACAUCGAUGCUAAGGGAUUUAGCACUUUCCCAGACUUCCUCAUUCAUUUGUGUUUAAUUUUGGGGAAUAAAG
rnacentral:lncRNA from 1 species